UACGUAGGGACCGAGCGUUGUCCGGAAUCAUUGGGCGUAAAGAGCGUGUAGGCGGCCACUUAAGUCCUGCGUGAAAUCUUGCGGCUCAACCGCAAGCGGUCGUGGGAAACUGGGUGGCUAGAGUGCGGGAGAGGAGAGUGGAAUUCCCGGUGUAGCGGUGAAAUGCGCAGAUAUCAGGAGGAACACCAAUGGCGAAGGCAGCUCGCUGGGACGGUACUGACGCUGAGACGCGAAAGCGUGGGGAGCAAACAGG
rnacentral:rRNA from 1 species